AGAGUUUGAUCCUGGCUCAGAACGAACGUUGGCGGCGUGGAUUAGGCAUGCAAGUCGAACGAAUCCCAGGGGUGUAGCAAUACAUUCUUGGGGGAAGUGGCGAAAGGGGCAGUAAGGCGUGGGUAACCUACCCCGGGGACCGGGAUAGCCUCUCUAACGGGAGGGUAAUACCGGGCGAUCUGGUUUCGGGGCAUCCUGGGACCAGGAGAUGAGUUUCGCCUCGGGAGGGGCUCACGUGGUAUUAGCUAGACGGCGGGGUAACGGCCCACCGUGGCUUAGAUGCCUAGCGGGUGUGAGAGCACGACCCGCGCCACUGGCACUGAGACACUGGCCAGACUCCUACGGGAGGCUGCAGUCGAGGAUCUUCGGCAAUGGGCGCAAGCCUGACCGAGCGACGCCGCGUGCGCGAUGAAGGCCUUCGGGUUGUAAAGCGCUGUCGAGGGGGAGGAAGACCCGCAAGGGUUUGACCUAUCCCUGGAGGAAGCACGGGCUAAGUUCGUGCCAGCAGCCGCGGUAAGACGAACCGUGCGAACGUUGUUCGGAAUCACUGGGCUUAAAGGGCGCGUAGGCGGGCCUCCCAGUCCGGGGUGAAAGCUUUCGGCUUAACCGGAAACGUGCCUUGGAUACUGGAGGUCUGGAGGGAGGUAGGGGCAGCCGGAACUUCCGGUGGAGCGGUGAAAUGCGUUGAUAUCGGAAGGAACGCCGGUGGCGAAAGCGGGCUGCUGGACCUCUACUGACGCUGAGGCGCGAAAGCCAGGGGAGCGAACGGGAUUAGAUACCCCAGUAGUCC
rnacentral:rRNA from 1 species